rnacentral:rRNA from 1 species
AUUGAACGCUGGCGGCAUGCCUUACACAUGCAAGUCGAACGGUAACGGGCCUUCGGGUGCCGACGAGUGGCGAACGGGUGAGUAAUACAUCGGAACGUGCCCGAUCGUGGGGGAUAACGAGGCGAAAGCUUUGCUAAUACCGCAUACGAUCUACGGAUGAAAGCAGGGGACCGCAAGGCCUUGCGCGGACGGAGCGGCCGAUGGCAGAUUAGGUAGUUGGUGGGAUAAAAGCUUACCAAGCCGACGAUCUGUAGCUGGUCUGAGAGGAUGAUCAGCCACACUGGGACUGAGACACGGCCCAGACUCCUACGGGAGGCAGCAGUGGGGAAUUUUGGACAAUGGGCGCAAGCCUGAUCCAGCCAUGCCGCGUGCAGGAUGAAGGCCUUCGGGUUGUAAACUGCUUUUGUACGGAACGAAAAGCCUUCUUUUAAUACAGGAGGGUCAUGACGGUACCGGAAGAGUAAGCACCGGCUAACUACGUG